GAAAAGCAUAUAUGUGUCUGUAACUCCCUUAUGGAAGUAUAAAAUAUUCAACAUCAGGGCAUGAUGUUUGGCUAGCUAAUGAAAAAAGAUAUCUCACUUUAUUGUCACAGACAAUUUGCUAGAAAAAAAAUAUGAACUGUAGGUGUUUUGUAUGAUUGCACCUUUCAUGAAAGAACUGUAUAUGACCUGCAAGUGCAUAAGCUCAUAUUUUGCUUCAGUGCAGUCCCCUCCAGUCUUUUGAAGUGCCUGUAAACAAAAAUAAAACAUAACCAUGAGGUGGAAGUGAAUGGAGAAUUGUCACUGUGUAGAUUUUACACCUGCUUUCUAAAGCAUACAUGCGAUAAAGGAAAAGGGACUGUAAGAUCCCCUAGGUUCAUUGCAUGCUUGACAAAUGUUUGACCACAUUCAAUGCACAGGGCAACAAGCAUCUACCCCAAAAGAAUAUUUUUAAGUCAUUUUACUUGUAUCAGCAGGCUUGUGAAGAGGCUUCUGCAAGGUUCAAGCUCUGUGGCCCCAGACUAUGUAUGUGAAGCACACUGGUGAAUUAUGGAGGCCAGCUGCGCAGCCCUGCAUUGGAGCUGUGCAGAGUGAUUGCCCCCAGCAGUGAGGAGGCAUAGCCAAUGCAGCACGGCUGAGGUUAAGCACAAGCAUGACAUCGUCCUGGCCUCAAUCAAAAAUGACACAAGACACCAGAUGGAUGCAAAUACACGGGGGAAGCACAAGACAAAACAUUUAUUCUUUUAGUAAGCAUCAGCCACAGUGCACCAGCUGCUUAGGUAUUAAAUAUUUUGUAGGCACUAUUGUAUAGAUAUAAAAAUCAUAAUAAUCAUUGCUAUAACUUAGCAUAUGUGAGGAAAAAAAAAAAAAAAAAAGAUUUUUUCUUGCUGUUGUACCAUGGGACUGGAAAAAUGUGGCCAUUAAAAGAAAACACCUCUGUAAGUAUAAGCAUUCAGUCAUUCUUCAGCCGUAAACAUUACAUUAUCCUAGAUUAAGUCGAAGUUGAUGGUUCUGUUCUCAUUUAACAGCUGAUAAAUAUCAUAUUAGAAUGUUGAGAUGAGUGUGUCUGCAGUAUACAACUGGUUACAAUUUGCAACGUUGGCUAAUUUUAUAUCUGUUCAGAUAUCUAAACUGUUCUGAAAAGAAAAUUCACCCCUCCCUAAAAUGCCCAGAAGCAUAUUAAAGUAGGAUUGGUACAUGAAAUACAUAAAGAGGAAAAGGUGAUGAUGAAUCUCAUAUUAGAACAAUAUUUUAAAAAUAAACUUAUGAAAACGUAGAAAUCA
rnacentral:lncRNA from 1 species